rnacentral:rRNA from 1 species
GUCGANCGGGAAUCUUCGGAUUCUAGUGGCGGACGGGUGAGUAACGCGUAAGAAUCUAACUUCAGGACGGGGACAACAGUUGGAAACGACUGCUAAUACCCGAUAUGCCGCAAGGUGAAACCUAAUUGGCCUGGAGAAGAGCUUGCGUCUGAUUAGCUAGUUGGUGGGGUAAGAGCCUACCAAGGCGACGAUCAGUAGCUGGUCUGAGAGGAUGAGCAGCCACACUGGGACUGAGACACGGCCCAGACUCCUACGGGAGGCAGCAGUGGGGAAUUUUCCGCAAUGGGCGAAAGCCUGACGGAGCAACGCCGCGUGAGGGAGGAAGGUCUUUGGAUUGUAAACCUCUUUUCUCAAGGAAGAAGUUCUGACGGUACUUGAGGAAUCAGCCUCGGCUAACUCCGUGCCAGCAGCCGCGGUAAUACGGGGGAGGCAAGCGUUAUCCGGAAUUAUUGGGCGUAAAGCGUCCGCAGGUGGUCAGCCAAGUCUGCCGUCAAAUCAGGUUGCUUAACGACCUAAAGGCGGUGGAAACUGGCAGACUAGAGAGCAGUAGGGGUAGCAGGAAUUCCCAGUGUAGCGGUGAAAUGCGUAGAGAUGGGGAAGAACAUCGGUGGCGAAAGCGUGCUACUGGGCUGUAUCUGACACUCAGGGACGAAAGCUAGGGGAGCGAAAGGGAUUAGAUACCCCUGUAGUCCUAGCCGUAAACGAUGGAUACUAGGCGUGGCUUGUAUCGACCCGAGCCGUGCCGAAGCUAACGCGUUAAGUAUCCCGCCUGGGGAGUACGCACGCAAGUGUGAAACUCAAAGGAAUUGACGGGGGCCCGCACAAGCGGUGGAGUAUGUGGUUUAAUUCGAUGCAACGCAAAGAACCUUACCAAGACUUGACAUGUCGCGAACCCNGGNGAAAGCUGGGGGUGCCUUCGGGAGCGCGAACACAGGUGGUGCAUGGNUGUCGUCAGCUCGUGUCGUGAGAUGUUNG